CUGGUCUUGACAUCCCUUUGACCGACGAGUAAUGUCGUCUUUCCUUCGGGACAGAGGAGACAGGUGGUGCAUGGUUGUCGUCAGCUCGUGUCGUGAGAUGUUGGGUUAAGUCCCGCAACGAGCGCAACCCUUAUCUUCAGUAGCCAGCAUUUAAGGUGGGCACUCUGGAGAGACUGCCAGGGAUAACCUGGAGGAAGGUGGGGAUGACGUCAAAUCAUCAUGCCCCUUAUGACCAGGGCUACACACGUGCUACAAUGGCGUAAACAAAGGGAAGCAGAGCCGCGAGGCCGAGCAAAUCCCAAAAAUAACGUCUCAGUUCGGAUUGUAGUCUGCAACUCGACUCCACGAAGGCGGAAUCCCUGGAAGCCGAUAAGG
rnacentral:rRNA from 1 species